rnacentral:rRNA from 1 species
GACGAACGCUGGCGGCGUGCCUAAUACAUGCAAGUAGAACGCUGAAGAGAAGAGCUUGCUCUUCUUGGAUGAGUUGCGAACGGGUGAGUAACGCGUAGGUAACCUGCCUUGUAGCGGGGGAUAACUAUUGGAAACGAUAGCUAAUACCGCAUAACAAUGGAUGACCCAUGUCAUUUAUUUGAAAGGGGCAAAUGCUCCACUACAAGAUGGACCUGCGUUGUAUUAGCUAGUAGGUGAGGUAACGGCUCACCUAGGCGACGAUACAUAGCCGACCUGAGAGGGUGAUCGGCCACACUGGGACUGAGACACGGCCCAGACUCCUACGGGAGGCAGCAGUAGGGAAUCUUCGGCAAUGGGGGCAACCCUGACCGAGCAACGCCGCGUGAGUGAAGAAGGUUUUCGGAUCGUAAAGCUCUGUUGUAAGUCAAGAACGAGUGUGAGAGUGGAAAGUUCACACUGUGACGGUAGCUUACCAGAAAGGGACGGCUAACUACGU